GAGUUUGAUCCUGGCUCAGGACGAACGCUGGCGGCGUGCUUAACACAUGCAAGUCGAACGGUGAUGCCCAGCUUGCUGGGCGGAUCAGUGGCGAACGGGUGAGUAACACGUGAGCAACCUGCCCUCCACUUCGGGAUAAGCCUUGGAAACGAGGUCUAAUACCGGAUAUGACGCUUCCUCGCAUGGGGUGGUGUGGAAAGUUUUUCGGUGGGGGAUGGGCUCGCGGCCUAUCAGCUUGUUGGUGGGGUGAUGGCCUACCAAGGCGACGACGGGUAGCCGGCCUGAGAGGGCGACCGGCCACACUGGGACUGAGACACGGCCCAGACUCCUACGGGAGGCAGCAGUGGGGAAUAUUGCACAAUGGGCGCAAGCCUGAUGCAGCGACGCCGCGUGAGGGAUGACGGCCUUCGGGUUGUAAACCUCUUUCAGCAGGGAAGAAGCGCAAGUGACGGUACCUGCAGAAGAAGCGCCGGCUAACUACGUGCCAGCAGCCGCGGUAAUACGUAGGGCGCAAGCGUUGUCCGGAAUUAUUGGGCGUAAAGAGCUCGUAGGCGGUCUGUCGCGUCUGGUGUGAAAACCCGAGGCUCAACCUCGGGCUUGCAUCGGGUACGGGCAGACUAGAGUGCGGUAGGGGAGACUGGAAUUCCUGGUGUAGCGGUGGAAUGCGCAGAUAUCAGGAGGAACACCGAUGGCGAAGGCAGNUNNNUG
rnacentral:rRNA from 1 species